UGCCAGCCGCCGCGGUAAUACAGAGGGUGCAAGCGUUAAUCGGAAUGACUGGGCGUAAAGGGCGUGUAGGUGGAUAGAUAAGUUAUGUGUGAAAUAUCCGGGCUUAACCUGGAGGGGUCAUGUAAUACUGUCUAUCUAGAGUAGAGCAGAGGGAAGUAGAAUUUCCGGUGUAGCGGUGAAAUGCGUAGAGAUCGGAAGGAAUACCAGUGGCGAAGGCGGCUUGCUGGACUAAUACUGACGCUGAGGAGCGAAAGCGUGGGGAGCAAACGGGAUUAGAUA
rnacentral:rRNA from 1 species